AGUGGAGAGGAGAAGCAGCUGUGGUGGAGCAGAGUCAUCCAGGAAAAAAUCCUGGACCCAUGGGGUCUCGUCCAGGUGGUCCUCACCAACAAGAAGCUGAUUGGUAUUAAGUUCCUUGGUAGAAGGAUCCAUGGACUCAUGUCCGGCCUUGUCAAGAGGAGGUCUGAGUUCACCUAUUAUGAGGAUGCCCAGCAGGUGGAUAUCUCCACCACAGUGGAGGGGUACCAGGAGAGGGG